AUAUUAAAAGAUAUAAUAAUGAACUUAUGUUGAAUAUGAUAUUUUCUAGGAAUUUUCCAAACUAAAAAAAUCACACAUGAAAAGAAGUCAUGACUUCUGUUUUAAUAUAUUAGAUAUGAGUUAAUAUGUUUAUUUACCAUCUCUAUUUAUUUGAAUGUAUUAACCGUAAUAACUGUAAUCUAUUUUCAUAUUCUGAAAUUUGUUUGUUUUUCAAAAUAUUUUAGGUUUUAUUGUACCAUUUUUAGAUAUAUAGUAAAUAAAUAAUAACAAUAGUGAGGUACAUUUUAAACAUUGUUAGAUCUCAAACAAAUAUAGAUUUCAAGAAUAUAGGUUUUUUUUAUAUUUGAGUAUUAUAUAAAUUUGAUUUUGGUGAUUAUAUAUGAGCUGAUAAAUAAAAAUAUAUUAUGAAAUUAUAAUUAAUAGAUUGUGUAUCACGCAUAUACCCUUAAUAAUUUUAUAUAUUAAUAAUUGAAUUCAUAUAUUAAUAUAUAAUUCGUCUCUAUUUUUAUAUAAAUAAAAGAAAAAUAACAUGUUGAUUAUAUCAAAAUUAUAGAACAAUUAACGAAUUUUAACUUAUCAUGGGGAAAGACACUAUUGCUGAUAUAAUAACCUCUAUACGAAAUGCUGACAUGAAUAGAAAAGGAACAGUUCGGAUAGGAUCGACUAACAUCACCGAAAGCAUUGUUAAAAUACUUUUACAAGAGGGUUUUAUCGAAAACGUAAGGAAACAUCGCGAAAACAAUCAAUAUUUUUUUAUUUUAACCCUAAGACAUAGACGAAAUAAGAAAGAAUCCUAUAAAACGAUUUUAAAUUUAAA